GACGAACGCUGGCGGCGUGCUUAACACAUGCAAGUCGAACGGAAAGGCCCUGCUUUUGUGGGGUGCUCGAGUGGCGAACGGGUGAGUAACACGUGAGUAACCUGCCCUUGACUGUGGGAUAAAUUAAGGAAACUGGGGCUAAUACCGGAUAGGAGCUCCUGUUGCAUGGUGGGGGUUGGAAAGUUUCGGCGGUUGGGGAUGGACUCGCGGCGGAUCAGCUUGUUGGUGGGGUAGUGGCUUACCAAGGCUUUGACGGGUAGCCGGCCUGAGAGGGUGACCGGCCACAUUGGGACUGAGAUACGACCCAGACUCCUACGGGAGGCAGCAGUGGGGAAUAUUGCACAAUGGGCGGAAGCCUGAUGCAGCAACGCCGCGUGCGGGAUGACGGCCUUCGGGUUGUAAACCGCUUUCGCCUGUGACGAAGCGUGAGUGACGGUAAUGGGUAAAUAAGCACCGGCUAACUACGUG
rnacentral:rRNA from 1 species